ACUAAGUGCUGAAGUGUUUCAUGAAGGGAGCAUUAUUAUGUGCAUUAUUUAUUUUCAAUAUGCACAACUGAGUAAUAGUAUGAUAGAUAGGUUGAGCGUUUGAAGUAAUGCAUUUCAGGUAUAGAAGUCACUGAAUAUAACUUUUGCGACUCCCGAAACUGGAAUUUCCGAGUGCCCCUGAAUGCAACAAUGAUGCUGGGAUUUCCAAGUGCCCCUGAAUGCAGCCAUUACACAGCUGAACCGUAUUACCGUGAGUUGUCUGUCCAUCUUUGGUCUGCGGUGUUUUUGGGUGAGUGCACUUAAUUUUUUUUAACGGUAAAAAUACAACUUAGGUGGUUUAAAAGACAUACAACCGGCUUCUUGUUUAUAUGUAACUCAAAAAUUGAAAAUGAAAAUUUAACCCUUCUGACAUGGCAAAGACGGAACGACUUGUGGUGAGCUCAUUGCAACGUUGUUAAUGUCGACCGCUAAGCUAACGGUACCAUGUUAACUGAAGAUUUAAUGGAUAAACAUAAUGCAGCGCUAAAGGUGACUUUAGAGAGUAAUUCACAUGGCAGCAUAAGUGGUAAAUGGGAGUUGAAACAGCUAACUUAUUGCUCUCUCCCAUAACAUCAUUUCUGCUGGCUACAGCACAAGCCAUACUCCUGCAUAAGGUAAUGAGGUAAUGUGCGUGCAGGCCAUGAUUAACAGAUACUACUCGAAAAUGUCUGACUCUUAAAGUAUCAAGACUACUCUUGUGUUUUUAUGAUAGCUCUUGCUAAUUGACAGUUACAAGAAAAAAUAUUUACGGGCAAACUGGUGCUGAGGGGGAGCAGAAUUUUUCCAGCUAUAUAUUUACCUUAUUUUCAUGUUGUUUUUUUUUAAAUAAUGGCACGUUGUAUGGUAACUGCAGUGACUCAUUGCAUAUUUACACAUGUACAGCAGAUAUUAAAAUAUUGUUUCCUCUCAGACACAGAAUGUUGAUCCUGCCCUGUGCUUUACUUCUCCUGGCUCCAGCAGUGCGUGCAGCUGAGGUGCAUCAUCUCAUCAGCGGCUUCUGAGGUACCACACAGCUGAGGCAGGUUACCUAUCACCGACGGCAGUACUUAAGACGCUGGCGCACAAUCCCUCAUCGCCGCGAUCUGCACCUCUGACUCUCUCCGUUCUGCCUCUGCCCUAGUGACUUGCUG